GACAUCCCUUCUUCUAACUGAUCUGGAAAUUUACAAUCUAAAAUGUUUAUGGGUGUUAUACUCACACGUCUGCUCUACUGAAUCUGAAGAGGUGGGGGCUAACUCCUCAACACUAAGGGGAGGAGGAGGAAAGGGGGGGCUAUGUGAGGGCACUCAUGUCUACACACAAGGUUUUUUAGAUGCAGUGCUCUUCUGCAUUCACACACGCUUCCUCUCAGCACUUUCAACUGCAUCGCGUAUCAUACUCACUCUGACUUUUCAAGCUCUUAACAGUCUCCUCAUGCUACACCCCAACUACUAUUCUUGUGCUAACCUGCAGUUAUUUGCAACUUUAUUUACAGCAACAAGUUACACCCAACUUGUUUUCUUACAGUUCAGCUGCAAGGGUUAACCCACAAGUGAGAAAAAAGAAACAACACAAAUGACAGAGAAAGAGACACACACGAGCACGAGACAUGGGAAUGGUGCAGCUCCGGAACUCACUGAGGGAAGGGGCUUGGAGAGCCCUGCAUAUCUGACAUUUCUCUCCCAAACUCCAACCAGUGCUGUUCUCAUCUGAAAGAAGAAGGAACUCCUGCUGCGUAGCCCGGACUUCAUGCCACACUGCCUAAACCGCCUGACUUCUCUCCAGACAACCAGGGGCAGACCAAAUACAAAAACCGAUUCCGCCUCCAGCCGGGUCCCUCCCCGCUCAGCGAUAACAGGCCCAGCAGCCUGACCGAACUCUCUCAACCGCAAACCCGACCCGAUCAAAAUCUAGCCGCUCAGCCGCCUCCAU